CUAGCCGUAAACGAUGGAUACUAGGCGUUGUGAGUAUCGACCCUCACAGUGUCGUAGCUAACGCGUUAAGUAUCCCGCCUGGGGAGUACGCGCGCAGGCGUGAAACUCAAAGGAAUUGACGGGGGCCCGCACAAGCGGUGGAGUAUGUGGUUUAAUUCGAUGCAACGCGAAGAACCUUACCAGGACUUGACAUGUCGCGAAUCUCAGGGAAACUUGAGAGUGCCUUCGGGAGCGCGAACACAGGUGGUGC
rnacentral:rRNA from 1 species